rnacentral:rRNA from 1 species
UACGUAGGGGGCAAGCGUUGUCCGGAAUUAUUGGGCGUAAAGCGCGCGCAGGCGGUUAUUUAAGUCUGGUGUUUAAACCUUGGGCUCAACCUGGGGUCGCACUGGAAACUGGGUAACUUGAGUACAGAAGAGGAAAGUGGAAUUCCACGUGUAGCGGUGAAAUGCGUAGAGAUGUGGAGGAACACCAGUGGCGAAGGCGACUUCUGGGCUGUAACUGACGCUGAGGCGCGAAAGCGUGGGGGAGCAAACAGG